rnacentral:pre_miRNA from 1 species
AACGAGUAAGCUUUGGUUAUACGUAUUCCUUCCUGUAGCCUCAGCAUACUCGUUCC